AUGGCCGACGCGGGCCAAAGUGUAGUAUCUGUUCUUAUCAGCUUAAUAUCUGAUAUGGGUUGUAUAUAUAUGGACCCAAGAUAUUAAACUUAUUUUUGCAAGCUGGCGGAGUCCUAGAAGCCUGUUUCACCUCCGCGCACACUUGUGCUCGGUAUUGCACAAUCAUCGGGAUUUUUGGUCUACGG